UACACUCCUACGGGAGGCAGCAGUGGGGAAUUUUGGACAAUGGGCGAAAGCCUGAUCCAGCAAUGCCGCGUGAGUGAAGAAGGCCUUCGGGUUGUAAAGCUCUUUUGUCAGGGAAGAAACGGUGAGAGCUAAUAUCUCUUGCUAAUGACGGUACCUGAAGAAUAAGCACCGGCUAACUACGUGCCAGCAGCCGCGGUAAUACGUAGGGUGCAAGCGUUAAUCGGAAUUACUGGGCGUAAAGCGUGCGCAGGCGGUUUUGUAAGUCUGAUGUGAAAUCCCCGGGCUCAACCUGGGAAUUGCAUUGGAGACUGCAAGGCUAGAAUCUGGCAGAGGGGGGUAGAAUUCCACGUGUAGCAGUGAAAUGCGUAGAUAUGUGGAGGAACACCGAUGGCGAAGGCAGCCCCCUGGGUCAAGAUUGACGCUCAUGCACGAAAGCGUGGGGAGCAAACAGGAUUAGAAACCCCAAGUCCCAUGAU
rnacentral:rRNA from 1 species